AAACAGACAAGAAAGAGCGGCAGCUGCUCAGCUGGAAGCUGGCUGGGAGAGACAGAUGAGAGAGUGUUUUCAUGAUUAUACUUAUUUAAUAUUUAUAAAAGAUAACUGUCAUCAGGAUCCAAUCUCCAGGCUACCAGAGUUGCCUUCCCCAUACAACAAGAAAGACAGCCAUCAACCGCUCUAGUUCCUUCUCUCACAGUUCUGCUAUUCCAGCAGAAAGUGGAUUUCUUUCUCCUUAUGUCUGAAUAUCAAUCCAGAGAAGGAUACUAUAUCAUGUGCUAUGGCUAGAAUGGGAAGUGGAGCACCAAGACUGAGAUGCUUUCAGAGCUGUUUGGAAAGGGAUAAGAGUUCCGCCAAGGAGAGAAAUGGAAGUUUGUUCCCCAGGUGGCAAUGUGGUGAAGAUAUUUCCAGUAUGUUUAGAUAACAGCUGGGAGAGCUGAGGAAUUCUGGAAUUUCAAGAAACUUCAGCAAUGGAAGAAGAGACCACAGGAGGGAGUGUGGACCCUCAGUUCUAUCUCAGUUUCUGGCUUGGACUGUAUUUUAUUUAAAACAAAAAAAUUUUAAUGUUUAUUUAUUUGAGACAGAGAGAGAGAGAGAGAGAGAGAGAGAG